GGUCAAGUUAUUAAGGGUGCAGGGCGGAUGCCUUGGCACUAGGAGCCGAUGAAGGACGUGAUAAGCUGCGAUAAGCUUCGGGGAGUUGCACGUAAACUUUGAUCCGAAGAUUUCCGAAUGAGGAAACUCACUUAGAGUAAUGUCUAAGUAUCAUUAAGUGAAUACAUAGCUUAAUGAGGGGAACUCAGGGAACUGAAACAUCUAAGUACCUGAAGGAAGAGAAAGAAAUUCGAUUCCGUAAGUAGCGGCGAGCGAACGCGGAUUAGCCCAAACCAAUAAAGUUUUCUUUAUUGGGG
rnacentral:rRNA from 1 species